rnacentral:lncRNA from 1 species
CAAAUAAAGAACAACCCAAGAGCAUGGUGAAGGGUAAAAUGGACAAUUCUACAUAAAGAGGGGUGUGCCUAUCAUAAAAGGGGGUGGCAUUAAUGUUUACUUUUCCAUAGGCACCUAACAUAUUUUAUAUGUGUUUAAUAAAGCUUUCUAGAAGCCACACACAUUUAGCACAUGGCUAAUUAGUUGGAAUGAGAUCUGAAACGUGUGGCCUUGAGAUUGNNN